CGGGGAGGUGGGACAGUGCUGGGUGGCUGCUCUCAGGGACUCCUCUUUGUCCCCAGGGGCUCCACCACCUGCAUUCUCAGGGGAAGAUCCACAGAGACAUCAAGGGAGCCAACCUUCUCCUCACUCUCCAGGGAGAUGUCAAACUGGCUGACUUUGGGGUGUCAGGCGAGCUGACAGCGUCUGUGGCCAAGAGGAGGUCUUUCAUUGGGACUCCCUACUGGUGAGGCUGCGCCUGGGGCGGAGGGGUAGGGGCCACAGAGCGGGGCACCCGGCCAUCCCAUCUGUGACUCCACCUCUAGGAUGGCUCCCGAGGUGGCUGCUGUGGAGCGCAAAGGUGGCUACAAUGAGCUAUGUGACGUCUGGGCCCUGGGCAUCACUGCCAUUGAGCUGGGCGAGCUGCAGCCCCCUCUGUUCCACCUGCACCCCAUGAGGUCAGCCCAACACUUGCCCCUCACCUGACCCUUGAUCUGCGGCCUGUGGCCCCUGACCUCGCGCCCUCCACAGGGCCCUGAUGCUCAUGUCGAAGAGCAGCUUCCAGCCGCCCAAACUGAGAGAUAAGACUCGCUGGACCCAGAAUUUCCACCACUUUCUCAAACUGGCCCUGACCAAGAAUCCUAAGAAGAGGCCGACAGCAGAGAAGCUCCUGCAGCACCCGUUCACGACUCAGCAGCUCCCUCGGGCCCU
rnacentral:sRNA from 1 species